rnacentral:rRNA from 1 species
GCGGCCUAUCAGCUUGUUGGUGGGGUAAUGGCCCACCAAGGCGACGACGGGUAGCCGGCCUGAGAGGGCGAUCGGCCACACUGGGACUGAGACACGGCCCAGACUCCUACGGGAGGCAGCAGUGGGGAAUAUUGCGCAAUGGGCGAAAGCCUGACGCAGCGACGCCGCGUGAGGGAUGAAGGCCUUCGGGUUGUAAACCUCUUUCAGCAGGGACGAAGCGAAAGUGACGGUACCUGCAGAAGAAGCACCGGCCAACUACGUGCCAGCAGCCGCGGUAAUACGUAGGGUGCAAGCGUUGUCCGGAAUUAUUGGGCGUAAAGAGCUCGUAGGCGGUUUGUCGCGUCGGCUGUGAAAUCCCGAGGCUCAACCUCGGGCCUGCAGUCGAUACGGGCAAACUAGAGUGUGGUAGGGGAGACUGGAAUUCCU